rnacentral:tRNA from 1 species
GUGUCUGUGGCUCAGUGGUAGAGCCCUUGCCUAGCAUGUGUGACACUGGGUUUGAUUCUCAGCACCACA